UGCCGCGUAGGUACGGCGCUCAUCUCUCGUUAUAUCUCGUUCGAGUGAGAUAGAAUCAGGUACAGAGAGAAGCGGCACCGGCAGCCGUGUAAAGUUACAUCGGCGUAAGUGAUGCAAGGGUCCGUCGCAGCUCUGUAGCUUCAUCAAGAGCUCGUUUGAUGAUAUUCAGGUAUAAAAGCAUCAAGCAUCCAUCGGCUGGUCGCAAAACCUGUCUGGUCUCCGUGAUCACCAGCUCAGCGACGCAACCACCUUAUACAGGCGCCGCCAUGAACGCAGUUCUCUUCACUGUCCUCCUUGGUUUGGUCUCUGCCGCCUCUGCCGGCUUCAUCGGUGGGUACGAUGGUGGCGACGACGCAGGACUCGGUGCCGGCGACGGUGCUGGCCAUAGCUAUCGCUACUGGGUCGGUAAUAGCCCUGGCGCUGGCUCCGGCUCUGGCGCCGGCUCUGGCUCUGGUUCCGGCUCCGGUUCUGGCUCCGGCUCAGGCUCCGGCUCUGGCUCCGGCUCAGGCUCUGGCUCUGGCUCCGGUUCUGGCUCCGGCUCUGGCUCCGGCUCUGGCCGGGGCUAGGGCUCCGGCCCCGGCUCAGGCUUCUGCUUUGGCUCUGGCGCUGGCCACGGCUCGGCCGGCCAGCGAGCCGUCACUGCCCGUCCUGUCGUGGUCUGUUCCUGACUCAUCAAAAGAAGUCAUUAAGCAUCAUUGCUUUAUUAUGUAUUCGCGAUUUCUGCUCGUUAGGGCGAGUAAGUCGCCAUGGCUGGAAAUCGCGAGUGUCCAUGUUCUGAGCAUGAUGCAAUAUUAGAAUUAGACAAGGAACUAUGAAAGCAAAAUUAGAAGAGGAACUAUGAAAGCAAUUAUACGAAAAACAAGCUUACUCUCACCAUAAUUUACUGAAAGAUGAGGGCUGCUUAUCUGUUAAGCACAAAAACACAAGGAUUAAAGACCAGCUGGCAUGAGUCACCAGAAGAAAUAAAGACAAGAGUUAUUUCAACGCGGUCAGAGAAUUCAUUUCAGCGAACUUGAUUUCCGCGCAGUUUUCCUUGAGGGUUUUACCGUUGACCAUGCGUAUUUUUUUAAGUUGCAUAUUUUAUCAAUUUUGCAAUCUCUUUUUUUUAUUUCACUUUUAGCUUUAUCUCACUUCACGUGUGCUGCCGCUCAUCCCAUUUUGUGAGACCAUAUCCGGAACAUUUAUCCUGCCAGUUACUGAUAGGACAUUGUGUGCGGUUUUGUAUGUUUUCGUUUGUCUCACGUGGUUCCUUUGAUACAGAAACAUGUUUUAUACUUACCUUCAGUAAUAGAUAGCCUUAUAUCUCGCCAGAAGUGAGAGGAAGGACACUUAUAAAAGGCGGUGCUCACGAAUAAAAUUGAAGCUGGUGGUUCAGCGCUUAUCUUGAGUGUGCUUGUCUCUCCGCUUUCGUCAUUUCGUGCUGUCUAGCUUAACGUAUACGUCGUGCCAACUUGUCCAACAAGGGUACUCCAAUGCGGACACAAUCGUCACAUCAUUAAGAUUCCGGGACAGGCAGACAAGGUAUCAUUGCGUCUGCAGUCCGUUCGGACACUUCGACAUGGCGUCCAAAGCUGAAUCGGGACGCCAUUUACGUCGACAGUGAUCUUACAUGGGACGUUGGUACAGGCUUAUUACAAAGAAAAACUGCUUUUGAAUGGAACGUAUCAAAGCGGUGACCAUCAACCAUAAUUCUCAUUCGUACAGAGAAAGGCUAUUUGCAUGCUGUUAUGAAAAAAAUUGAUGAAAUAAUGAUUGAGAAUUGUUUGUGAGUUGUAAACGUGUCAUGUCCUCGCGAUGACGGCAUGUGAGUAGCCUUUCACUAUCUGAAUAACCACUACGGUUCUAGUCAACGCUCCGGUUUGUUGUUUCCUGUUACCUAGUCCAAAAUCGCUGUUUGUUCACACAAGGGAAGCUAUUAGUGCAGAUCUCGUGGUUACCGGCCGCGUAAGUCGUAGCGUUUACCGGUGUUAGGAGUCGCAUGGUCGCACUUUUGUUUUUGUUGUUGUUUAAUAAAUGAUCAGGCCACGGGAAAAUAGGCCCACGAACAGCCAGCUGUUCAAAUUAUCCAAAAUAAGCUCCAACGACAGAGGCAUGUAGAAAAAAAAAGGAAACAAAGAAACAGUGGGCAGAAAUAAAAGCUUAAAGCACAAAUAGCGGAGCAAUAGAUCAUCCUUAACUCAGGCACAGCGUGCUGCACCAUAUGCAUGUUUCGAACUUUAAUUGAAUGAAAAAGCAACUACAGGCUUGGUGAUGAUGAUGGUGAUGAUUUAUUGGCAUCCCCAUUAAAACGGGGCGGCGACAAAUAGUCACCUAGCCUGCUUGAUUAAUCAGCUCUACUAUACAUCUUCUUUAUCUAGCAUUUUUGUAUACCUCUCACUAUUCCUUUUCUUUUUCAAAACAUUACCUUGUAUCGCUACCUAUGAUUUUAAGAGAUCAGGUCAUAUCCAUCUUUUCCCUGCUUUUUUUUCCACCAGUACUCUAGUCGUCUCUUGCUUAUAUCUACGGCUGAUCUGUUGAUGUUUCCUUUCACUUUAAACCCAAGCGGUUCUGGGAGUUGCACGUUACCUACGGUUCUCGCUGGGUGGAUCCCGUCACAUACCAUUAGGAUGUGCUGAGUGGUCUCUGGAUCUUUACUGCCGCAUACACAUGCCUCAUUUAGUUCUGAAUAUUUGCUCCGGUAUGUUUUGGUCCUUAGGCAACCGGCUCGAGUCUGCACACAAAGGGCAAGGCACUGCCCUUUGUGUUAUCGUACAGAUUUUCCCUUCUAAUUUCUUUCUCCUCAUUCUUGUAAAUCUCCAUUGUUUAUUUUGUUUCCAUUCUUUGCAUCCAAUUCACGGUCUCUAUUUCUCUCAAUACCUUCCUUUCUGAUGACUAUUGGUUGUCUAUUUGCAGUUUCGUAUAUCCCAUACUUGGUUGCCAACUUCCUUGACCUCUUCCUCCAUUCUGCGUCCACGCUUUUCAUGUAGAGAUACUUGUGCACUUUAGCCGCCCAUUUAUUUUCAUCCAUG